rnacentral:lncRNA from 1 species
CUCUUGCACUCACCCCAUAGGGAAUCUUCAUACUUGGCACUCAAUGGCACUCAGUAACUCACCUGGAAGUUAAACAGGUUGCAUCAGAAUGUCCCAACAUUUGCGUUAGUGAUUCUAUCACUAGUUUUCAGUAUGAUGUUGAUUUGGUAUAGAAAAAAGCUACUUUUAAAUACUAAAAUACUAGUAAUGAAUAAAAUACUGUUAUUUAAAUACAUUGAAAAAUCUGAAGCCUGAAACAUCUUGAGAUCAAGCUCCAAGACCCAGUUAUUUAUUUUAUGCAAAAAGACAAGCUCUAUACAAAUAGGCCCCCCACUCCAUGGAAGUGUAAUCAGCUACUACCUUGAGUUACUCAGAGUUUUGUAUCAGCUGAGAGACUUUCUGACCAAGUAUAAGAGAAACACGACAGCAUUAAAAUGAACAGCUUCAGACUCUCCAUUUAUGUGUGAUGAAACUAUAAACAAGAAAUGAAGACAAAACAAAUGCUUUUAAACCAAACUUACCAUCAGUUUUUUAUAAUCCUUACCCUCAAGUAACUAAGCAAGCAAGUAAGUACAGAUCUCAAAAUUAUAAAAAGAGGCAGGAUUAUUUAAGGGAGACUUUUUUCCCCCAAAAUAAGACAACUCUUUUUUACUUUUCAUGAUUAAUUCAAAUACUUUUCUGUGUUAAUAAUAUUAAAAUGAUAGAAUAUGUUUAACAUUUUUAUAUUUGACCUUUGUAAUAUGUCUUUAAUUUUUGUAUUUGAAAUCCAUUAAAGAUUUAGUUUGUUCUUUAAAAA